rnacentral:rRNA from 1 species
GACGAACGCUGGCGGCGUGCUUAACACAUGCAAGUCGAACGGAAAGGCCCUGCUUUUGUGGGGUGCUCGAGUGGCGAACGGGUGAGUAACACGUGAGUAACCUGCCCUUGACUUUGGGAUAACUUCAGGAAACUGGGGCUAAUACCGGAUAGGAGCUCCUGCUGCAUGGUGGGGGUUGGAAAGUUUCGGCGGUUGGGGAUGGACUCGCGGCUUAUCAGCUUGUUGGUGGGGUAGUGGCUUACCAAGGCUUUGACGGGUAGCCGGCCUGAGAGGGUGACCGGCCACAUUGGGACUGAGAUACGGCCCAGACUCCUACGGGAGGCAGCAGUGGGGAAUAUUGCACAAUGGGCGGAAGCCUGAUGCAGCAACGCCGCGUGCGGGAUGACGGCCUUCGGGUUGUAAACCGCUUUCGCCUGUGACGAAGCGUGAGUGACGGUAAUGGGUAAAGAAGCACCGGCUAACUACGUGCCAGCAGCCGCGGUGAUACGUAGGGUGCGAGCGUUGUCCGGAUUUAUUGGGCGUAAAGGGCUCGUAGGUGGUUGAUCGCGUCGGAAGUGUAAUCUUGGGGCUUAACCCUGAGCGUGCUUUCGAUACGGGUUGACUUGAGGAAGGUAGGGGAGAAUGGAAUUCCUGGUGGAGCGGUGGAAUGCGCAGAUAUCAGGAGGAACACCAGUGGCGAAGGCGGUUCUCUGGGCCUUUCCUGACGCUGAGGAGCGAAAGCGUGGGGAGCGAACAGGCUUAGAUACCCUGGUAGUCCGCGCUGUAAACGGUGGGUACUAGGUGUGGGGUCCAUUCCACGGGUUCCGUGCCGUAGCUAACGCUUUAAGUACCCCGCCUGGGGAGUACGGCCGCAAGGCUAAAACUCAAAGGAAUUGACGGGGCCCCGCACAAGCGGCGGAGCAUGCGGAUUAAUUCGAUGCAACGCGUAGAACCUUACCUGGGUUUGACAUGGAUCGGGAGUGCUCAGAGAUGGGUGUGCCUCUUUUGGGGUCGGUUCACAGGUGGUGCAUGGCUGUCGUCAGCUCGUGUCGUGAGAUGUUGGGUUAAGUCCCGCAACGAGCGCAACCCUUGUUCACUGUUGCCAGCACGUUAUGGUGGGGACUCAGUGGAGACCGCCGGGGUCAACUCGGAGGAAGGUGGGGAUGGCGUCAAGUCAUCAUGCCCCUUAUGUCCAGGGCUUCACGCAUGCUACAAUGGCUGGUACAGAGAGUGGCGAGCCUGUGAGGGUGAGCGAAUCUCGGAAAGCCGGUCUCAGUUCGGAUUGGGGUCUGCAACUCGACCUCAUGAAGUCGGAGUCGCUAGUAAUCGCAGAUCAGCAACGCUGCGGUGAAUACGUUCCCGGG